GCGUCUGCUGAAUUAUUCACCCGUGUCUUUUGCGUACUUCUUGUUUCCUGGGUGGGCUCGCCCGCCAUCAGGACCAACCACAAACCUUUUGCAAUAGCAAUCAGCGUCAGUAACAACGUAAUUAAUUACAACUUUCAACAACGGAUCUCUUGGUUCUGGCAUCGAUGAAGAACGCAGCGAAAUGCGAUACGUAGUGUGAAUUGCAGAAUUCAGUGAAUCAUCGAAUCUUUGAACGCACAUUGCGCCCUUUGGUAUUCCAAAGGGCAUGCCUGUUCGAGCGUCAUUUGUACCCUCAAGCUUUGCUUGGUGUUGGGCGUCUUUUGUCUCCAGUUCGCUGGAGACUCGCCUUAAAGUCAUUGGCAGCCGGCCUACUGGUUUCGGAGCGCAGCACAAGUCGCGCUCUUUGCCAGCCAAGGUCAGCGUCCAGCAAGCCUUUUUUUCAACCUUUGACCUCGGAUCAGGUAGGGAUACCCGCUGAACUUAAGCAUA
rnacentral:rRNA from 1 species